rnacentral:siRNA from 1 species
UAAAGGGCUGCGACAGGGUGA